rnacentral:rRNA from 1 species
GACGAACGCUGGCGGCGUGCUUAACACAUGCAAGUCGAACGAAGAGCGAUGGAAGCUUGCUUCUAUCACUCUUAGUGGCGAACGGGUGAGUAACGCGUAAUCAACCUGCCCUUCAGAGGGGGACAACAGUUGGAAACGACUGCUAAUACCGCAUACGAUCUGACCUCGGCAUCGAGGAUAGAUGAAAGGUGGCCUCUACAUGUAAGCUAUCACUGAAGGAGGGGAUUGCGUCUGAUUAGCUAGUUGGAGGGGUAACGGCCCACCAAGGCGAUGAUCAGUAGCCGGUCUGAGAGGAUGAACGGCCACAUUGGGACUGAGACACGGCCCAGACUCCUACGGGAGGCAGCAGUGGGGAAUCUUCCGCAAUGGACGAAAGUCUGACGGAGCAACGCCGCGUGAGUGAUGACGGCCUUCGGGUUGUAAAGCUCUGUUAAUCGGGACGAAAGGCCUUUUUGCGAAUAGUGAGGAGGAUUGACGGUACCGGAAUAGAAAGCCACGGCUAACUACGUG